GGCCUGGUAGCUCAGUGGUUAGAGCUCCUGGUGCAGUUCCAGAAGGUCCUGGGUUCAAACCCCACUCUGGCCA
rfam:Rhizopogon vinicolor AM-OR11-026 unplaced genomic scaffold K503scaffold_939, whole genome shotgun sequence.